rnacentral:tRNA from 1 species
CCCCCCGUAGCUCAAUUGGUAGAGCAGGUGGCUCUUAACCACAAGGUUGAAGGUUCGAGUCCUUCCGGGGGGA